AAAUUCGAAAAAAAAUGGUGGAGACGGAUAUAAGCGGAUCCGCGAUUAAAGGACCUUAUCAAGAAAUCAAAAAGGACAAGGUAGAACAUACAUCGUCGAGAGAACAGCAGCAACAAUAUUAUCAACAGCAAGCAUCCAGGAAGAAUGACAAACACGGUUCAUGGGGCUCGAUCUUUAAAAACAAGGAUAACUUUGUCGACAUGCAUAUAUGUUAAUGUGCCUUCAACAAAAUAUAUCCUUCAUGUAUGACAUUAUGAUUAAUGCAUUCACGCGCGUUAAGCUUGAAACAAGAUGCAAGAUAUUUUUCACGAAAGUAUUUGGAAUAAAAAUUAUCUCUCAAAUGCUUCUUAUAAUAUGUUAAAUUUAAAAUAGCAUUUAUAAUUCCGUGGCAUUAUUUCUCAUUUGAUUAGUAGCAUAACUUCGAACUAAUUUUCUAUCGAAAAAAAUAAUUUGACUUGUAUCUAAAAGAGAUAAAAUAUCAAGUAAAUAUAUCUAUAAUUUGCAAACACA